rnacentral:piRNA from 1 species
UACUACAUUUUCACGAAAUCA